rnacentral:lncRNA from 1 species
ACCCCUCAUUUUUAAAGCAAUAAAUUGAAAUAGGCUAAAUUACAGAAAACCCCCCUAUAAUAACCCGCUUUUUCACUUUCCCCCCUGACAUUUAAAAACCUACACUUUGCCCCCUUGUAAAAUGAAAAAUGUGCACUUCACCCCUACCGUUAGGGUUCCGUCAGGGGUUCUGUUAAGAAAUAUUUUUUUAUACCGAAAAUACCCCUCCGCCUCUUCUCUGAUGCUUCGCUCCCUCCGGCUCGCCGCUUCGCCGCCUCGCCGCCUCGCCGUCCUCCACUGCUUCGCCCUCGCCCACAACUGCUUCGUCCUCCUCCGCCGCCUCGCCUUCGCCUUCGUUGUCCCUGCCUACCUCUCCAUCAACACCCAUCUUCAU